AACUACAGUUCUGAAACCACUUUACUCUUCUCAUUCUUCUUCUUCUUCUUUCCUCCAACCAAAAUCCAAAUCUGAUCCAACUCGAUCCAUUCCUUUGACAAGGAUGGCAGGGGCGUUGAUAGGAGGGUCAUUUCUGUCAGCUUUCCUUCAGGUGUUGUUUGAUAGAAUGGCUUCUCGCGAGGUUCUUGACUUCUUUAAAGGCCAAAAGCUCAACGAUGCACUGUUGAACAAGUUGAAGACUACCAUGAUUUCUGUUAAUGCAGUGCUUGACGAUGCAGAAGAGAAGCAAAUCACUAAACCAGCUGUGAAGGAAUGGCUUGACGAGCUCAAAGAUGCUGCCUACGAAGCUGAUGACUUGUUGGAUGAAAUCGCUUAUGAAUGUUUGAGGUCGGAAGUGGAAGCUACUUCUCAAACCGAUGUGGAUCAGGUGCGGAACUUCUUCUCUAAUUUUUCUCCAUUUAAGAAGGUGAAGGAAGUAAAGUUAGAAGAGGUCUCAAAGCUAGAAGAGAUCCUUGAGAGACUGGAACUUCUAGUGAAACAAAAGGAAGCACUUGGUCUUAGAGAGGGUAUUGAAGAAAGGCAUUCACACAAGAUACCAACAACUUCUCUGGUGGAUGAAUCUGUUGGUAUUUAUGGGAGGGAUUUUGAUAAGAAGGCCAUAGUCAAGCAAUUGUUUGAAGCAAAUGGCAACGAUCUAAGCGUGAUCCCCAUAGUGGGUAUGGGUGGGGUUGGUAAAACAACCCUUGCUCAGUAUGUGUAUAAUGAACCCAGGGUGCAAGAGUCAUUUGAUCUUAAAGCAUGGGUCUGUGUAUCCGCAGUUUUUGAUGUCUUCAAGGUAACAAAAGAUAUUCUUGAAGAUGUCACUAGGAAGAAAUGUGAUAUCACGACACUGAAUCUCCUUCAGCUGGAGCUAAAGGAGAAGUUGAAGGGAAAAAGGUUUCUGCUUGUUUUAGAUGACGUUUGGGAUGAUAAUUAUGCUAACUGGGAUGUUCUGCGGAAGCCUUUGAAAUCGGGGGCACUGGGCAGUAAGAUAAUUGUCACAACACGCCAUGAAACUGUAGCGUCAAUCAUGGGCAAUGUUCUCCAUCAUCAUCAUCUAACAGAGCUAAGCGAUCAUGAUUGCUGGCUGUUGUUUUCGAAACAUGCAUUUGGUGAAGGAAAUUCAGCUGCACAUCCAGAGUUGGCAAUACUUGGUCAAGAAAUUGUGAGAAAGUGUAGAGGCUUGCCUUUAGCGGCAAAAGCACUCGGUGGGGUCUUGCGUUCUAAAAGAGAUACUAAGGAGUGGGAAAGAAUAUUUAAAAGCCUUCUAUGGGAGCUAUCGAAUGAUGAAAUUCUUCCUGCCCUAAGAUUAAGCUAUCAUUACCUACCACCACAUCUGAAGAGAUGUUUUGCAUAUUGUGCUGUAUUCCCAAAGGACUAUAAUUUUUCAAAGGAGGAAUUAAUCCUUUUGUGGAGAGCGGAAGGUUUUAUAGUUCAGCCUAAAGGGAGUAGGGAAAAGGAAGAUGUUGGUGCUGAGUACUUUGAAGAUCUCGUAUCAAGGUCCUUCUUUCAGAAAUCACAUCUGUAUAAAUCAGCUUUCGUCAUGCACGACCUCAUUAAUGAUUUAGCUAAAUAUGUUUCUGGGGAAUUUUGCUUUCAAUGGGAGAAUGGCGAUUCAUGUGAAGUUGCCAAGAGAACUCGUCAUCUGUCAUAUCUAAGAACAAAUCAUGACACCUCUGUCAAAUUUGAGAGCAUAUAUAGAGCUAAGCAUUUGCGCACUCUGCGUGUGAAGUGGUCAUGGUGGACUGAUAGAAAGGUAAAGUAUGACUUAUUGCCGUCACUCAGGCGUUUGCGGGUGCUAUCUCUGUUUCAGUGUGAUGAUGUAGUUCUGUUGCCAAAUACUAUUGGCAAUUUGAAACAUUUACGAUAUUUGGAUCUGUCUGGAACAUCGAUCAAAAGGUUACCUGACUCCAUAAAUAGUUUGUAUAACUUGGAAACUUUAUUAAUGUAUGGGUGCCAAGAUCUCAUCAAAUUACCAAUUACCAUGUCAAGUUUAAUCAGUUUGUGUCAUCUUGAUAUUAGAGAAACAAAAUUGCAAGAGAUGCCACUGAAGAUGAGUAAACUGACGAAGCUUGAAAUGUUAACUGAUUUCGUUUUGGGGAAAGAGAGUGGCUCCAGUAUCAAGGAACUGGGGGAGCUUCAGAAUCUAAGAGGAUCCCUUUGUAUUUGGAAUCUUCAAAAUGUUGCAGAUGCCCAAGAUGCUAUGGCAGCUAAUCUGAAGAAUAAAAAGCACCUUAGGAUGUUAGACUUGAGAUGGGACGGUGAGACUGAUGAUUCACUUCAUGAAAGAGCCAUAGUUGAGCAAUUACAGCCUCAUAUGAAUGUGGAGUCUUUGUGCAUUGUUGGUUAUGGGGGUACAAGAUUUCCGGAUUGGAUAGCAAAUCCUACUUUCUCACAUAUGGUAACCUUGGAGCUUAGUAGAUGUAAAUACUGCUCCUUUUUACCACCACUCGGGCAGCUAGUGUCUCUAAAAUCUCUUUAUAUCAUAGCACUUGAUUCCAUAGUUUCUGUUGGUCUGGAGUUCUAUGGAAGUUGCACACACCCGAAGAAGCCAUUUGGUUCCCUUGAAAUUUUACAUUUUGAAAGAAUGCCACAGUGGCGCGAGUGGAUUUGUCAUGUAGAUGAAGGGGAAAAUGGAGCUUUCCCACUCCUGCAACAGCUUUACAUAAACGAAUGUCCCAACCUGAUACAGACACUGCCCGGUAACCUUCCUUCUCUGACAACAAUAAAGAUUGUGGGAUGUCCGCAACUUGCGGCUUCAUUUCCUAGCGCUCCAGCCAUCCAAAAAUUGAAGUUAAAGGAUGAUCAUCGUAAUGUGCUGUUGCAGAAUUUUGAUUUUAGUAGUCUCAAAGUUGUAAAAUUCCACUCAGUAGAUCCUUUGCUUCAAGGAAUGGAGAAAAUUGGUGUCCUUUUCAUAUCGGAAGAAAUUGAAGUUGGAAACUGCGAUUCACUCAAGUGCUUCCCAUUGGAGUUGUUCCCUGAGUUAUACAGUCUUGAAAUCUAUAGGUGUCAAAACCUUGAGUGCAUCUCUGAAGCAGAGGUAACUUCUAAAGGUCUCAAUGUUCUCGAAUCCAUAAAAAUUAGGGAGUGUCCUAAGUUAAUUUCUUUCCCCAAAGGAGGUUUAAACGCCCCAAAUCUGACCAGUCUUCACUUAUGCGAUUGUUCAAAUUUGAAAUCCUUGCCUGAAUGUAUGCACUCCCUUCUCCCUUCUCUUUAUGCUUUGGCAAUAAAUAAUUGUCCAAAACUCGAGUCAUUUCCAGAAGGAGGUUUGCCCCCCAAAUUAUACUCACUUGUCAUUGAAAGUUGUGACAAACUUGUUACUGGCCGCAUGAAAUGGAAUUUGCAAACAAUUUCUUUAAAAUACUUCAGUAUAAGCAAGAAUGAAGAUGUGGAAUCUUUUCCUGAGAAGAUGCUAUUACCUUCUACUCUUACCUGUCUCCAAAUAUCCAAUUUUCAAAAUUUGAAAUCAUUGGACUAUGAUGGGAUUCAGCAUCUCACCUCUCUUACGGAACUAACAAUCAGCAACUGCCCUAAGCUACAGUCUGUGACAGAACAGGAGUUGCCCUUGACUGUUACCUAUCUUGACAUCUGGGAUCUUCAGAAUCUGAAAUCUCUGGACUUCAGGGGGCUCUGUUAUCUUACCUCUCUUAAAGAAUUGGAGAUCUGGAACUGUCCUAACCUCCAGUCGAUGCCAGAAGAUGGGCUGCCUUCUAGUCUUGUCUGUCUUACAAUCUCAAAUCUUCAGAAUCUGCAAUCUCUGAACUUCAAGGGGCUUCAGGACCUCACUUUUCUUAUAGAGUUGGAUAUCUUGGACUGUCCUAAGCUGGAGUCCAUACCCGAAGAGGGGCUUCCCACUUCCCUUUCUUCUUUAAUUAUCUACAACUGUCCUUCGCUGAAACAAAGGUGUAAACAGGAGAAAGGGGAGGAUUGGCCCAAAAUCUCUCACAUUCGCCACAUAGAAAUUGAUGGUGAUACUAUGAAUAAAUGCUGAGUCUAAAUGAGUUCAUAAUUUUCCACUCUGAAUGUCCAUAUCAUAUCUCUGUUCCUAAUGCAUCAAAUUCUUCCAAGCUGAUCAUACUUUAAGAAGGUGCACUCUUUUCCAGUAUGAGGAGCAUCCCCUGCUUUUUGUUGCUGACAAAGCCCAAAGGCACAUUAGAUCCCUUCAGGAGAUUCAUGAUAGAGUUGCUGGCAAGUGUUAUUUCAGAUCUUUUUUAUUUCACCAUCAUCAACGACGGUAGAGGAAUCGACAAACAAGAUAGAAGAAGAUGUGGGAAGAAUGGCUUAGCAGGAACACAAAUACAAAAAGAAAAAAGCAGUCCCUCUACUCUCUUCCAUAUGCUGUUGGAUUUCCCUUCUCCACUCUCUUCUCUAUUAUUUUUUGUUACUUUUUCCUUUUUUUGGAUAAGUUCCUUUUGCUAGCUUUUGCAUGAAUAAGAUGGAUUCAUAAUCGAAAAAUAAAAAUAAAAAUUAAAUUGUACGGUGCAGCUCGUUGAAGAUCUAGAUGUAUAAUGGUUGAUUGAUGGAAAAUGGCGCUGGUUUUUUCCCUUUCAAA